rnacentral:rRNA from 1 species
ACUACGGGUGGCAGCAGUGGGGAAUAUUGCACAAUGGGGGAAACCCUGAUGCAGCGACGCCGCGUGAGGGAUGAAGGAUUUCGGUAUGUAAAGCUCUAUCAGCAGGGAAGAAAAUGGCGGUGCCUGACUAAGAAGCCCCGGCUAACUACGUGCCAGCAGCCGCGGUAAUAAGUAGGGGGCAAGCGUUAUCCGGAUUUACUGGGUGUAAAGGGAGCGUAGGCGGCGGUGCAAGCCAGAUGUGAAAGCCCGGGGCUCAACCCCGGGCCUGCAUUUGAAACUGUUCUGCUUGAGUGUUGGAGAGGCAGGCGGAAUUCCGAGUGUAGCGGUGAAAUGCGUAGAUAUUAGGAGGAACACCAGUGGCGAAGGCGGACUGCUGGACGAUGACUGACGUUGAGGCUCGAAAGCGUGGGGAGCAAACAGGAUUAGAUACCCGUGUAGUC